rnacentral:rRNA from 1 species
GAUGAACGCUGGCGGCGUGCCUAAUACAUGCAAGUCGAGCGAAGCGGGGACGGGCGGGUAAGAGGUGGAUAACCUCCUGUAAGAUAGGGAUAACUUCGGGUAACCGGGCACAAACCGGAUAAUUUUUGAUGGGUCCUUGCUGCAUUAGCUAGUUGGUAAGGUAACGGAUUACCAAGGCAACGGUGCAUAGCCGACCUGAGAGGGUGAGCCGCCACACUGGAACUGAGACACGGUCCGGACUCCUAUGGGAGGCAGCAGUGGGGAAGCUUCGGCAAUGUGCGUGAGCCUGACGUGGCCACGCCGCGUGGUGUAAGAAGGUCUUCGGAUCGUAAUACUCUGUUCUUCGGGAAUCGGUACCUAAUCAGAAAGCUACGGCUAACUACGUGCCAGCAGCCGCGGUAAUUC